UGUUGCCAGCAGCUGGGUGAAAUGCAGAAACCAAUUUUUCCUGCCAGAGGACUAUGUGGGAAAAAUUAAAGGGAGGAGGACUGCCUAGGUAAUUCUCCCAAUCUUGAUGUUUGUGCAAAUACCUCCCUUUUGAAUGAAAGACUGGGGAAUCCAGGACAGGAGAAGCAAUGCUUCAGUACAAGAUUAACCCCUGAAGGAAGAGGACAGUAGCCCCUCACUCAAACUAUGGCUUAAGUUGGUGUUGUCAUUAAGCACAUGGCACUUUCCUGCCUCCUCCAGAGAUUCAAGCCAGGCACAUUGUGUUACAUCAUUUCAGCGUGGCUCACAGAAGGGCUGAGGCUCCAGCUAUCGUGUCACGUUUUCAGCAGAAACCUUUUAAGUCUCGGCGACUUCCUCUGAGGAUGCUGAAGCAAACAGUGCCCAGACCUGUGAGUGAACAAGUUGCAAAUGACAUCGUCGGUUUGAAACGUCUGAGCUGCUGCUGGGCCAUCUCUUUGUCUGCUGGAUAUAAUCUCUGGGUUUAUUUGGCCAUCCAUGUCCUGCUGGGUGACAGCCACCAUCCUGUGACUGAUGACUAAAACUUCCUCACCCAACCUGGUAGCGCUGGACUCGCCCCGAGCCUGGCCAGGUCUCCCCACACAGCGCAUGUCGGGCAGCCUCACCCCACCUCUCCCAGGAAUACCCACCCUCUCCCCGGGUGCCUCACCAAGGUGUUCAGCGAGUUUGUCAUUUGCAGACACUUCCUGAUACACAACACACGUGCAUUUUUAUGGCCAUCUUGGAUAAAGACAUCACUCCAGCUGGUAACUGCAGCUUCCAGAUAAGACUGACCCCGAGAAAAUGUAAACACCCAAUUAAGGAGCAAGGAGUUGUCCAUUUUCAGACUCCAGUGUGGCUACAUCUACCAAUAUUUUGUUGCACAAACACAGAAUAGCAACUCUAACUGGAACAGUUCUCUUAGUGGUUGCUACAUUAUCUGUAAUUGAUUCUGCAAGAGUUUGCAGGCCCUAGCAUUAGAAAGCAACUUCCUGCAUGUGUCUUUGAAUCAGAUUAAUAAAGGGAAAGAGUACUUUUAAUGACA